rnacentral:lncRNA from 1 species
CUACCGUCCUGAUGACUUCUACUAUUAGAGUGAAUGAGUUGAACUAUGUUCAACGAAUCCCUUCGCGCAAGCUUUACCCGACCGGUAAGGUCUUUAGUACCAUAGACUGAUGAUUAGCCAUCAAGCCAGCGACUAGGCCCCAAGGUCGGGGACGCCGAGACCUUUGCUUAAGUAAUGAUAUGUUUAGUUAAUCCUUUCAAGGGCUAGCUGGAUCCGAAGCGGCUUGGCUAGAACAACCACGAUCAAAGUGAUUGGUCUCUAUCUUCAUUGCUCAGGACGAAACUCUGCCUCACUUCGAUCGCCUCGGAUUGAAGGAUUCUUUAGUACCAUAGCCUGAUGAUUAGCCAUCAAGCCAGCGACUAGGCCCCAAGGCCGGGGAUGCCGAGACCUUUGCUUAAGUAAUGAUAUGUUUAGUUAAUCCUUUCAAGGGCUAGCUGGAUCCGAAGCGGCUUGGCUAGAACAACCACGAUCAAAGUGAUUGGUCUCUAUCUUCAUUGCUCAGGACGAAACUCUGCCUCACUUCGAUCGCCUCGGAUUGAAGGAUUCGGCCGCGUAGCCCUCAUUUUGGAAUAAAAGGAAGAAGAACUCUACUAUUCCACGCUCUUCCGAAAAUGGU